AUUGAACGCUGGCGGCGUGCUUAACACAUGCAAGUCGAACGGUAAGGCCCUUCGGGGUACACGAGUGGCGAACGGGUGAGUAACACGUGGGUGAUCUGCCCUGCACUUCGGGAUAAGCCUGGGAAACUGGGUCUAAUACCGGAUAGGACCACUGCCUGCAUGGGUGGUGGUGGAAAGCUUUUGCGGUGUGGGAUGGGCCCGCGGCCUAUCAGCUUGUUGGUGGGGUGAUGGCCUACCAAGGCGACGAGGGGUAGCCGGCCUGGGAGGGUGACCGGCAACACUGGGACUGAGAUACGGCCCAGACUCCUACGGGAGGCAGCAGUGGGGAAUAUUGCACAAUGGGUGCAAGCCUGAUGCAGCGACGCCGCGUGAGGGAUGACGGCCUUCGGGUUGUAAACCUCUUUCAGCACCGACGAAGCGCAAGUGACGGUAGGUGCAGAAGAAGGACCGGCCAACUACGUGCCAGCCGCCGCCGUAA
rnacentral:rRNA from 1 species